rnacentral:rRNA from 1 species
UACGUAGGUGGCAAGCGUUGUCCGGAAUUAUUGGGCGUAAAGCGUCCGCAGGUGGCUAUUCAAGUCUGCUGUCAAAGCUCGGAGCUUAACUCCGAAUCGGCGGUGGAAACUGAACAGCUAGAGUGCAGUAGGGGUAGAGGGAAUUCCCAGUGUAGCGGUGAAAUGCGUAGAGAUUGGGAAGAACACCGGUGGCGAAAGCGCUCUACUGGACUGCAACUGACACUCAGGGACGAAAGCUAGGGGAGCGAAUGGG